AUGUUCUCACCAAGGCCUUCCAAGUGGACAAGAAAACUGUGGACUACCUUCAAGCACAGUUUUGGUACGACAACAACUAAAUGGAACAGAUGACUCAAGAUAUGCCGACAGAGCAUUUGAGCCAUAGUACUUAUGAGAUCAUUGCUACUUUCCAAGAUUGCUAAGAAUAAAUGAAUAAUUUUUCUCAAUGUUUAUAGGGUUGUUAUAUACCUUGUUGUAUGAAUCAUUGAGCAAUAAAGAUCAUUUACUAAGAAUCUCUUUCAACCCAAACCCCCCGGGCGCUUUCUUCCCUCCCUCCCUCCCUCACUGUUUUGAGGAUAAUUUCUCAUUCGAAAGGAGCCAAAUCCCAAGCAAAGUCAUUCCUCACAUUUAAUUACGGGGCGAGGAUCCAUAAAAAUUCCAUCGAUGUCACCUUUUUCAAGCUCUAAUUUGGUGGAAGCACAGGAAAGGAAGUCCCAGUCCACACACCGCUUGUCAUCAGGAUCAUUGCUUUGUGCUGCCUAGUUGUCUACUUGUUUCCUACUAACCACGAUGUAUCGUCACUUUGUAGAAAGCAUGCGGUAUUAUCGCAGUUCAACAUCUGCAUAUCUGUGAAAACUGUCCUAUGGCAAUUACGUGGGAGCUCUUACGAUUCAUGUGUUCCACUCCAUGCUGAAUUUCAGGCCAUUUUUGAAAACAUGACUAGUUUCAACCAAAAGCCCGAUUUGGAAAACCAUUCACUAAGAAACUGUGCCACAUAGCCAAAGAAUACUCCCUAAAAUAACUCAAGUUAGAGUAGUUGAUUAAAAGCAGAAUAUGGAAACUUAAAAGACGAAAAGAAGUGGGAGACAGAGACUCACUAUAACCAAAUUGAAGUCGCCUACGAUAUUUUAUAUGGAUCAGGUGUUCGGAAAAGAAUAGCGAGCACAUUAAGUCGUAGAACUUUCCGUUCUUCGCAAGUAGAGAAGGACAAUUAUCUAUUAAACAUUCACUACCGAAAACGGAUUGAUGUGAAGCUCACUACAGAUAUGCAAAUUAAGUAGUCGCCAUCAUCUACACAUCUUCAACAACUCUCCCAUUUCUCCAUGUUAUAUUAAGAUGUGUAAACUGCGUUUAAACCUCUCUGCUCCUCUUGCAAUUUCCUAUAAGCGAGUCCUCGUUAGCAGAAGUAAAAAAAUAACCUUCUUUUUUCCGAGUAUAGGUUUUUUUUCUUUCAAUCAUCGUCCGCAGUACAUAUUCGUUUUGGUAGGCUUCUGAUUGGUGCUGCGGUUUUUACAUCCUUGGAAUGGAUAAAAAAACAGCUCAAAAAUGGAAGUACAUGAUUGAAUCGUAAUGCAAUGCAUACGCCUGGCAAAGCGAUGAAGUUCCUGCGUAUUUCCCUUUUAAAAACGCUUCAUGUGAUCCAAUUUACUUCAUCAAGAGGACUGGCUGACGUGUCGUCUGCCGGAAAAGUCAAACAAAAAUUACAAAAAUUUGCAAACUCCCAAGGUCUGAUUGUUGUGACUUACAUCAUUUGAGGAAGGUGAAGCACAAUCCAAAAAUUGAAAUCAUUAAUUUUCAAAGUACUUUUUUAGGAACCAAACACGAAUGGACCUAUGGCAUAUUCAAAGCUUUUUCAAGUAAAAAACUAGUAAGCGCUUUUCUUAAUUAAACCAAAGCAUAACGGUGUCAAGCAGGAUGAACUGGAUAUCAAAUUGUGUUUUUCUAAUCGAAAUGCCAUGUCUCUAUUCAAUUUGACUAGGGUUAGUGUUCCGCCUGAUUCCUUGAUCUAUUCCCAGCAUAGUUCUCUCACUUGUACAUUAAUCAAUGCAUGCUUGCUAGAUAAUCCUUGCUCCAAGGACUUUUGAACUUUCAACAAAAACAUAAAAACCAAAGUAAAGGUCAUGUUAAUCCUCAAGUUCGCUGGUCUCAACAAGUCCAUUCUAGAAACUACGAGACCAUCUAGAAAUCCAUUCAACAGAAUAUGAGAUAACCUUAUUAACAAAGCCUAGCUAUGUGAAACAACCUUAAGAAAUGCUUUAGUCCAGGAUGAGAUAUGUUUUCGGUCUAACAUAUAAAAGUGCAUUGCAAGCAAGCAUAUGCUCUAAAUAUUCUUUUUAGUUUCCUCCAAAUAACAAAGUGGAUCAAAUUUUCUAAUUUAACGAGGGAGAACAUCAGCAAACCUAAACUAUUUCUUUCGCAAAUGUAAAAGCAAAUGCUCGGGAGACACGGAGAUUGACCCUUUCAACAACAUUUGCAGAGACACUAUUGUAUCAAUCUUUACUCAAACAAGUUGAGCUUGAAAAGGCGCCAGAUAUAAAUUAUAUAAGACAAACAAGGGUGGACUCAAUUACUUGGCUCAGUUUUAGGCCCCUAGAUCACGUCAAAUCACGCUCAUUGGUACAUGAAUGGUCGUGAUCAUGUGAUGAAGAUCCAUCACGCGAACAUUCCUUGUCAAGACUUGGCCUCCAUUGAUUUAGUCCCGGGUCGUCGCGUCAAUUUAUGAAAGUUGCUGUUCAUUUCUUUUUCCUAGGAAUAUAAAAUCAAAGUAAUGGACACGUGCUUGUAGUUGUUGUUGUGGAAUGACCCGUCCAUCGCGUCUUAAACCAAACUUGCAUAAUAUCGGAAGAUUUUCAAUGUUGCCUAUCACGCACAAAGCGCUGUACUUGGUCAACAAUCUGCAUUUAUAUAUAGAGCACUUGUCGCCAUGCCUCGUCAAGUAGAUUACCUGGAGAGAGCCUAAAGUCUUUCUACUAAUUUAUUUAACAGGACUCGCCUUUAACAAAAAGUUAAGCCAACAAAUUUAGUAUCAACCAAAUAAAUCAAUUGCUCUUCACCGUGAUGUGCAUCCGACGAAAAACCGAAAUCACUUAUACUCUUAAUUGUAACCCUUAAAAACUUAGCUUGUUAAUACUUAUGUGGGACAUUAAUUAUAGUUAAUCCUUUAAAUGUCCUUGUUUGAGCGAUCUAAUCCAUUGAAAAUUUUAUUAUGCAGUGUAGUCUUCGACGUAAGAUAUGGGCUGUAAGUCACCAUAAUCUAAGGGCCUGCAUGUUUUUGUUCCUCAUUUCUGUUUCUGAACACUUUUUUUUUUUUGUUCCCGAGAACAAAAAAAGAACAGAAACAUGUUUGGUUGCGUUUAUGUUCUUUUUUUAUUUUUUUGUUCCCGGAACACAAAAAGAAUAGAAAUGAGAAACAAAAAAAAUUUGUUUCUUGUUCCAGAAACGAUUUUGAAGAAACGCUUCUUCUUCUCUCUCUUCUCUUUUCUUCUUCUUUUUUUCUUCUUUUUUCUUUGGCCGGUCACCGGCCUCGGCCAUGGCCGGCGACCGGCUAUCGAGGGCCAGCGAUGACGUCAAGGGUCGGCGACCUUGCCGGAGCAUCGCCGGCCCCCGGCGAGGCCGAUCCUCGCCGUGGUUGGGUGAGGCUCGGCCUCGCCUUGGUUGGGCGAGCUCGGCCUCGCCCAGAUCCGGCGAGGCCAAGUGUCGCCAGCCCCCGAUGAGGCCGAACCUCGCCAUGGUUGGGCGAGCUCGAGCUCACCUAGAUCCGGCGAGGCCGAGCCUCGCUGGGGGCUGGCGAGCCUCGCCGUGGCUGGGCGAGGCUGUCGGCCACGUCGGCCGGGAACCGGCCGAAAGAAGAAAAAAUAAAAAAGAAAUGAAAAAAAUGAAAAAUAAAAUAAAAAUAUUAAAAAAUUAAAAGAAACAAAAAAAGAAUAAAAUUUACUAAACGUGUUUAUAUUCAUUUUUUAUUAAUAAAAAAGCAUUGAUAAUAUUUUUAGAGGUGGCUCGAGAAAACUUCUAUAUGUAGGACGUUCACACCAUAAUCUCUUAUAGAAACACGCUGUGGCGAAAACUUCUGUAUGUAGGACGUUCACACCAUGUCCUACUCCCCAGGGAGAAAACUAGCUGUGGCCCCAAGUCAUCAACUAAUGAGUAUUCAAACUUCUGUAUGUAGAUACUACUCCCCAGGGAGAAAACUCAAGAUUGUUAGUAAUAAAAAAUUUGAUAUGUGGAAGGUAAAGGCCUGUUUGGCAAUGUCCUACUCUUUCGUUUUUCAAAUAUUUCGUUCUCGGAAAAAAAUAAAUAUUUGAUAACAUCAACUAAUUUUUAUAUUUAUUGAAAUAGAAAAGUGGUUGGGGAAUAGAUUUGUAAUAGAAAUAAAAACUAGAAAAAAGCAUUUUAUUGUUUCUGAAAAUAAUUUCUAGAAAUAAGUUAUUUCUUCUUUUUUUUAUUUUCUUUUCUUCUUUCUUGUCGCCUCCUCGCCCUUGGCCACUACCCCUAUUGUCCAACCAACACUGGCUGGCCGCCGCCACCCAUCACCCGCCACCCACCACCCACCUUCCGCUGUUGGUGGUAGCAACGGCAAGGAAGAAUAAAAAAAGAAAAAAAGAAAAAAAUCUUAAAAAUUAUUUAAAAAAUUAAAAGAAAUUAUACGUUACAAAAAAAAAUUGUGGAUCGUACCAAAUACAUUCCUUUUUUUUUUUUCACUAUGAGAAUGAAAAUUUUGCACAAUUAUCAAAUACGUUAUUUUAUUUAGAAAUUAUUCUGAAGAAUAUAAAUAGAAAAAAAAAAAGCUAUUUUUGAAAAGAAAUUGUUCUCCGGAACAUAAGUGUUACCAAACAGACCUAAGAAACCACAAAAGGAAGACUCGCUAUUACUAACUUAAAAAUCUCCUAAACUUAUUUUUGGGGAGCAAAUGUGCAUUGGAAUAUCAUAUAGCGUAAAAUUAAUUAAAUAAAUUUGUGCUUCUAGCAAUCUCAUUACUCAAAGACAUAAUGCAGCGGGAUUGUCUUUUCACCUUUCAUCUCUUAAAUUGGUUAGCACAAAAUCUAUCAUGACAAAAUUAUGAUUGGAAAGUUGCCUUAAUCAUCUACCCAUCUUUAACAACUCUCCCACUUCUCUGAGAAAAUCUGUAGAGGAGCUUCGAGGUUAGAAAUAAUAGAGGGACAUUUGGUAAUUUCAAGGAAAUUAGCUAAAAUUCUUUGGUGUUGAUAGUAAAAGCCUCUUUUGAAUUAUAACCUUCCGAAGCUUCGUUUUUCCAACGAAUUGGGUGACUUAAUUAAUAUCCACCAGCUCAACAUGGAAACAUUCACACCCUUGAUCCUCAAGUAAGCGAUGUCAUGUAAGUUCUAGAAGCCAUUGGAAUUUGGAAUAAGAUAUUGCUCACAAGUUCUAACUUUCGUAAAACUUUUCUGCUCAUAAGGUUGUGAAGCAGUCGCAGCUUUGGACAACGGCAUCUUAUUUCUGACCUCCCAUGAACUUGUGUUCCCAAAGGUACUUAAUGAAUCAAGUUUUGUGCAACAGGAGAGUGAAUCACUGCUAUGUGGAUUGCUACUAAGUUCACUGUUUGGGAUGUUAAAUCAGACGAAGUCCCCUGAUUAUUACUGAUACGAAAUAUCUGCAGCCCAAAAAUUUCCAUGGUGAAGAUGAGUGUGAAAAGAGUUUUUCCUACUCUAGAAAGGGUCAAUUCAAUCCACUUUGGAUGCAUGAAACUGUGUUCAGAAAACAGUCCUUGUGUAAUCAUGCUGCUCUAAAUUGAUGCUGAAGAGCUGAAGAAGUGAAGGAGGAAUAAUGCAAGGUUGUAAAAGUUAUGAAUGAGCACUUCCAUAGCUGAUAAUAUGCAUUGUUUAAGCUGGAGAUGAGAAAAUCAAAUAGACUGCCAGGUGGUCAUAGUGGUUAUGGAACGGUCCAUUGUUUGGAAUUAAGAAUGGGGAAAUAAAGAUAGAAACAUUGAAAACUUGGUCUUCUGCAGGGAAACUUGUUGCAUAAAUUGUUUACCAGGUCAAGCACUGUCAUGUAUAAAUAGAGACCAUGUCAUGCAAGGCACCUCACUCCUCCCUCGAGCAAUAAUACUCUGAGCUAGGAAAUAGAACCUGAGAUCAGCCCCAACUCCCGCCCACAAUGAAGUCCUUUCCAGUUAGCCUUCUCAUUUUGGCUUUGGCAACUGCAACUGCCUUUGCUUAUGACCCAAGUCCUCUUCAGGACAUAUGCGUGGCCAUCAACGACCCCAAGUCUGCAGGUUAAACCUCUAUUCUAGUGUUAUUGACAUGCUGUUUUCUUCUUGUCAGCGAUGCUAUAAACAGAACAUGCAAAAAGGUUUUGUUUUGGUAACAUGACGACAUUGUCAUCGACUAUAACUAGUACAAUAGUCAUCGCAGAUUGAGUGAUGCAUAUUAAGAUGAGUUCUGUUUUCUUAUGCAGUGUUUGUGAACGGGGAGUUUUGCAAGGACCCUAAGCAAGCCAAUGCAGAUGACUUCACCUUUAUGGGGUUCAGAAAGCCUGGGAAUACUGCAAACCCACUUGGAUCGAAAGUCACACCUGCAACCGUCAACGAGUUUCCAGGACUCAAUACUUUGGGCAUAUCCGCGGCUCGCAUUGACUUCGCUCCUGGAGGUUUAAACCCUCCUCACACUCACCCUCGUGGCACUGAGGUCUUGGUCGUCAUCGAGGGCACACUCCUUGUCGGCUUCGUCACAUCCAACCAAUUGAACAACACUCUCUUCACCAAAGUCUUGUACAAAGGCGAUGUGUUUGUUUUCCCAAUUGGACUCAUUCACUUCCAGUUGAAUACUGGAAAGACCCCUGCGCUGGCCUUUGCCGGUUUGAGCAGCCAAAAUCCAGGAGUCAUUACCAUUGCUAACUCCGUCUUUGGAGCAAAGCCACCCAUUUCUGCUGAUGUUCUCACCAAGGCCUUCCAAGUGGACAAGAAAACUGUUGACUACCUCCAGGCACAGUUUUGGUACGACAACAACUAAAUGGAAUGGAUGACCAGAAAAACACCAACAGAGUAUUGAGCCAUUUAACUUACGCAAGCAUUCCUAGUUUCCAUGAGAGACUUCCAAGAAUAAAAACACUGCUUUAUGUCAGUGGUCAAUGGGUAUUUUUACCUCUUGUACGAGUAAUUUCUCAGUAAAGUAUUAUUUACUAAGAAUCUCC
rnacentral:lncRNA from 1 species